rnacentral:rRNA from 1 species
GAUGAACGCUGGCGGCGUGCCUAAUACAUGCAAGUCGAGCGAACGGACGAGAAGCUUGCUUUUCUGAUGUUAGCGGCGGACGGGUGAGUAACACGUGGAUAACCUACCUAUAAGACUGGGAUAACUUCGGGAAACCGGAGCUAAUACCGGAUAAUAUUUUGAACCGCAUGGUUCAAAAGUGAAAGACGGUCUUGCUGUCACUUAUAGAUGGAUCCGCGCUGCAUUAGCUAGUUGGUAAGGUAACGGCUUACCAAGGCAACGAUGCAUAGCCGACCUGAGAGGGUGAUCGGCCACACUGGAACUGAGACACGGUCCAGACUCCUACGGGAGGCAGCAGUAGGGAAUCUUCCGCAAUGGGCGAAAGCCUGACGGAGCAACGCCGCGUGAGUGAUGAAGGUCUUCGGAUCGUAAAACUCUGUUAUUAGGGAAGAACAUAUGUGUAAGUAACUGUGCACAUCUUGACGGUACCUAAUCAGAAAGCCCCGGCUAACUACGUGCCAGCAGCCGCGGUAAUACGUAGGUGGCAAGCGUUAUCCGGAUUAUUGGGCGUAAGCGCGCGUAGGCGGUUUUUUAGUCUGAUGUGAAAGCCCACGGCUCCACCGUGGAGGGUCAUUGGAAACUGGAAAACUUGAGUGCAGAAGAGGAAAGUGGAAUUCCAUGUGUAGCGGUGAAAUGCGCAGAGAUAUGGAGGAACACCAGUGGCGAAGGCGACUUUCUGGUCUGUAACUGACGCUGAUGUGCGAAAGCGUGGGGAUCAAACAGGAUUAGAUACCCUGGUAGUCCACGCCGUAAACGAUGAGUGCUAAGUGUUAGGGGGUUUCCGCCCCUUAGUGCUGCAGCUAACGCAUUAAGCACUCCGCCUGGGGAGUACGACCGCAAGGUUGAAACUCAAAGGAAUUGACGGGGACCCGCACAAGCGGUGGAGCAUGUGGUUUAAUUCGAAGCAACGCGAAGAACCUUACCAAAUCUUGACAUCCUUUGACAACUCUAGAGAUAGAGCCUUCCCCUUCGGGGGACAAAGUGACAGGUGGUGCAUGGUUGUCGUCAGCUCGUGUCGUGAGAUGUUGGGUUAAGUCCCGCAACGAGCGCAACCCUUAAGCUUAGUUGCCAUCAUUAAGUUGGGCACUCUAAGUUGACUGCCGGUGACAAACCGGAGGAAGGUGGGGAUGACGUCAAAUCAUCAUGCCCCUUAUGAUUUGGGCUACACACGUGCUACAAUGGACAAUACAAAGGGCAGCGAAACCGCGAGGCCAAGCAAAUCCCAUAAAGUUGUUCUCAGUUCGGAUUGUAGUCUGCAACUCGACUACAUGAAGCUGGAAUCGCUAGUAAUCGUAGAUCAGCAUGCUACGGUGAAUACGUUCCCGGGUCU